GAUCUAGAGAGCCUCAGGAAUUUCAAAUUUAACGAUUCUCAAUCACUCGGCCAGCUUAGAAGAUAAGAUUAGAGCCUGCCUACAGAUUUGUACAUCAGCAAGGCUAAGUCAUUUUCAGGAUUUACCAUUCGGGAUCCUUUGGAGACUAUGGAAAGGAAGAAACGUCUUAGUUUUUCAACAAAAACAUACACAUUGGAUGAACAUUAUACGCUAUACUAAGAGUGAUGCAAAGGAGUGGAAACAGAUUGAGGAUGCAGAUACAUCUGAGGUGGUUCUGAGAAACAAUACUACAACGGUUCAACCACAAGGACAUUGGAUAAGGCCUCCUCAGGGAUGGAUUUAAUGCAAUACAGAUGGAAGCUUUAUUAAUGAGGAAACACUAACAACUGCAGGUUGGGUUGUGAGAGAUUCAAAUGAAACUUAUAGAGGUACUGCACAAGCUAUAGGGAUAAGAGUAGAAAGAGCACUGGAAAGCGAACUACAAGCUAUCCUCAUGACGCUUCAGCAUUGUUGGAGUUUAGGAUACCGCAAAAUAAUUAUGGAGACAGACUGCAGAACAUCAAAAGAAAUUCUACAAGACAAUAAGCUCCAAUUUCCAAUUUACAAUUGGACAAGAAACAUUCGAGAAUGGAGUAAGAAGUUUGAAGCAAUUGAGUUUCAGUGGAUCAACAGAAGAUCAAAUAAGGUUGCAGAUAAGUUGGCAACUUCAAAUCCAUCUCGAGAUCCAUUUUUAUUUCAUUACUAUGUACCAAACAACGUAACAUCUUUUCUUCGAGAAGAUUAUGUUCUGUCUCAUUCAAAUUAAUAAAAUAAGUUGAUAUAAAAAAAAUAUAGAUUAUGCUAGGUUUCUAAUGGGCCUCAUGCGAGGUAACAAAGCCCAUUAUUUUGGUUCAAUAUCGGUUUACCCAUUUAUUCCACCAAGUGGAGGUAGAAAAAUAUACUAAUAAAAUGCGCCAGAGGAUUACCUCAUUUCAAGCAAACAACGUUCAACGCGACUUAAAUGUUAAUUUUCAGAGCCAUAGUUCGAUCAUCUCUCCCUCGUGGGUUUUCCUGUCGCUAGGAUCUAUGACCGUUUUAGUCAAGAGAUUUGCUAGCAAUGUUUUGUCGGAGCACUGGAACGAGUUGGUCUCCCGCGGUCGGAUCGAAUCCAUCUUUAAUCGUUUGGUUAGUUAACGGAAGUGUCUUUGAUGCACACAAAUGCCUCAUUAAGUGCUGUUUGUGUGUUUCUUUAACUGUUCUUUAAUUAAUAAGCAAAUGGGUUGUGUCUGCUCUAUUUGCUUCCAUCAUUCUUCUGCGGCAUGAUGGUACUGCGUUGUGGGCAAUCAUUGGUUCCGUUUCAAAUUCAGCUCUCUCUCUAUUCCUGAAACGUUUACUUAACCAAGCGAGGCCUGCUACAACCUCGCGAACUGAUCCCGGGAUGCCAUCUUCUCAUGCUCAGUCCAUAUCCUUCAUAUCUGUGUUUGCGGUUUUGUCUGUUAUGGAAUGGCUUGGAACCAACGAAGUCUCUCUGUUCCUAAUCAUGCUCAUCCUCGCAUUGGGUUCAUAUUUUGCAAGUGUUUCAACUAUUCGAUUCGCAUGCUUUUAAACUCAUUUAGUUUCUUGAUAAACCAAUUUUCAUUGAUCUCUCCCUCUGCAAUUGUGCAGAUGCGGUUAAGGGUUUCUCAGAAACUCCACACAAGCAAUCAAGUGGUAGUUGGUGGGUUCGUGGGUUCUGUUUUCUGCAUCUUUUGGUACAAAACGUGGAACUUGCUUCUUCUUGAAGCCUUCAAGUCAUCUCUAUUACUCCAAAUAUAUGUGUUUCUGGUUGCUUCUGCAUAUACGCUAGCUUUUGCAGCCUACGUUGUACUUAACUCGUUCAGACACGAUAGAUGAGCAUAACCUUUUUAACU